UACGAAGGGUGCAAGCGUUACUCGGAAUUACUGGGCGUAAAGCGUGCGUAGGUGGUGAGUUAAGUCUGUCGUGAAAGCCCCGGGCUCAACCUGGGAAUGGCGAUGGAUACUGGCUCGCUAGAGUGCGGUAGAGGAGAGUGGAAUUCCCGGUGUAGCAGUGAAAUGCGUAAAGAUCGGGAGGAACAUCAGUUGCGAAGGCGGCUCUCUGGACCAGCACUGACACUGAGAUGCGAAAGUGUGGGGAGCAAACGGG
rnacentral:rRNA from 1 species